AUAUAAUUGAAUGGCCGCAGAAUUUUAACUGUGCAAAGGUAGCAUAAUCAUUAGUCUUUUAAUUGAGGGCUUGUAUGAAUGAUUGGACGAGAUAUAAGCUGUCUCAACUAUAAAUUAUAUAGAAUUUUAUUUUUUAGUUAAAAAGCUAAAAUUAUUUUAAAAGACGAGAAGACCCUAUAGAUCUUUAUAUUUGAAAUUAUUGUUUUUAUUAGGAUUUUUGUAUGAAUAAUAUUUUUAUUUAUUUUAUUGGGGCGAUAUUGAAAUUUGAUAAACUUUCAUUUUUAAUAACAUAGAUUUAUGAUUAAUUGAUCCUUUAUUAUUGAUUAAAAAUUUAAGUUACCUUAGGGAUAACAGCGUAAUUAUUUUGGAGAGUUCAUAUCGAUAAAAUAGAUUGCGACCUCGAUGUUGGAUUAAGAUUAAUUCUGGGUGUAGAAGUUCAGUUUAUUAAGUCUGUUCGACUUUUAAUUUCUUACAUGAU
rnacentral:rRNA from 1 species